UAUUCUAGUACCGUGGUGAUGGUGGGAUCUGAACACAAGGUCACAGACAGAGGUUUCAGCCUCAAUGAGUUAGUUUUUACAAUCAUUGUAAAAUAUGCUACUUAUUUGCACCAUAGUUACAAAUAUACUAAAUUUGUAAUCACUGGGCUGAAUUGCUUUCUUUCAGUAAAAUAUUUAUGGGUUUAAUUCCUUACUAAGCACUUUCUGUACUUUGCUUGCUUAACGACUCACUCACUGCACUGCUGUGUGGCCUAUAAGAGUGUCAGCCUCUCCAGCCACUGCACUAAGGGAGCCGCUUCUCUACUAACUCCUCUCUCAGGUGGUCGUUGUGCAGCCUGGUUUCAGUAAAAGUGUGCAGCUGUUCUUCUAGCUGUUUGACUUUUAUCUACAAGGAAAAGAGAGAACGAGUGGAGGAAGACGUCAUGCGUUUUGUUUAAAAAAUUAGAGGAAACUUGAAACUUGAAAAGCAAAUCCUACAUUUUUCUAAUGUUGCAAACAAUUCUGUCUUAACUCGUUGCUACAAGCAGGCUACAGCUGUGUAAAUGAGCUAAGACCACGCAUCUGCUUUCUGUGGCCUAAGGAAAGUCCAAAUGGACACUAUGGCAAGUAAACUAUGAUACCAGUAUUCAGAAUAUCUUCUGAAUGUAGGUAAUUAGAAGGAGAGAGAGAGAGAGAGAGAGAGAGAGAGAGAGAGAGAGAGAGAGAGACAGACAGACAGACAGACUGACUUGUGUUUUGCUCAAAGAAAACUAGGAAAGUAAAAUAGAUAGAGCGCUUAUAUAUUGCAUAGUAUUUUAAAACUAUCCCCAAAAGGCAUGGUGGUACAUACCUGUUAGCUUAGUCCUUAGGAAGCAGAGGCAGGAGGAUUACUGUGAGAUUUAAGUACGAUUACUUUUUUAUGGAAUAAUGUUUUACUUCACCCUUAGGACACCCAUGUUGUAGCCACUGAGGAACAGUGAAGUACAGUACACCAUCAGCUAAGCUCUGAACCUCGUUUGUCUGCUCACUUUACUGUGAGGGAAGAACGAAUGUUGACAUGUUUGGCAAGCGUAUUAUGAGAGUACUCAACAUUUCAUCUGUCCGGUCCUGAGCCUAAGUGGGCUUCAUUUCACAUUGUUUAGCCCAGCUGUUAGCUGUUAGCUAUGCUAGGCAAGUAUUCUACCACUGACCUGAGCCUCAACUCCAAAUACAUUUGACUACAAAUAAGAAACACAUUCCUGCAGCUAUGGCAAGUUCAAUACAGCCUGGUCAUUUU